rnacentral:rRNA from 1 species
UUCCGUAGUUGAACCUGCGGAAGGAUCAUUAUCGUUCCUUCACCCGCACCCUGUGUACCGUUCGUUUUUCCUCGGGUUGGCAGCGCGCAAGAGCUCAUCGUUCUUGUGCUCUGUCGGCCCUUGGAGCACCCCGCUCCGGCGGAUCCUCUGGCUCGUUGCGCGACACGUCUGCUGUCGGUGCAGCUUGCCUCCCCCCCGAGGGCUUGACCGCUCUCGACGUGAUCUAACCAAAUCACACAACUCUUGUCGAUGGAUAUCUUGGCAUGAGCAACGAUGAAGAACGCAGCGAAAUGCGAUACGUAGUGCGAAUUGCAGAAUUCAGUGAAUCAUCGAAACUUUGAACGCAAAUGGCGCUUUCGCCUCGGCGAAAGCACACUUCCUCCAGUGGCGCCACCACCCCCCUCGGGCGCGCCCCGCGCGUUCCGGAUCGUGGCCGCUGCCUGCGUCUCGACGCGGGCGCCGGCUCAAGUGGCGACCGCGAGCCGUGCUUGCGCAUCGCGUGCUGCUCCUUGUGGGCGGUUCGCGAGCCGAUGUGCUACGAAUGAUCUCCAUUCUCUUGUCAUCGGUGAAAGCAAUGGCACGGUGCGGUCGGGUCGGGUCUUUCUCCCCGAUUCGAAGUGCUGUCGACACGAGUAUCUCGUGCCGGCUGUAGUCACAUACCGCCAUGGAGUGACGUGAGGCUACCCGCUGAACUGAAGCAUAUC